UGAUUUUAAGUGAAGAAUUAUGCAUCAAAACAUUUAUAAAAAAUCAUAAUUUUAUGUGAAAAAACAUAUAUAACGACAUUUUAUGAAAUAUGUGAUUUCACUUGAAAUCUAUAAUAUGAGAAAUAUGCAAGUAUAAUUAUGAUGAAGUAUGAAUGAUAAAAUACGUAACGACUUAUGUUAUGAUAUGAAGAAUG